AAUGAACGCUGGCGGCAGGCCUAACACAUGCAAGUCGAACGGAUCCUUCGGGAUUAGUGGCGGACGGGUGAGUAACGCGUGGGAACAUACCCUUUGGUACGGAAUAGCCUCGGGAAACUGGGAGUAAUACCGUAUGUGGUCGAGAGACGAAAGAUUUAUCGCCAAAGGAUUGGCCCGCGUUGGAUUAGGUAGUUGGUGGGGUAAUGGCCUACCAAGCCGACGAUCCAUAGCUGGUUUGAGAGGAUGAUCAGCCACACUGGGACUGGGACACGGCUCAGACUCCUACGGGAGGCAGCAGUGGGGAAUUUUAGACAAUGGGGGAAACCCUGAUCUAGCCAUGCCGCGUGAUCGAUGAAGGCCUUAGGGUUGUAAAGAUCUUUCAGGUGGGAAGAUAAUGACUGUACCACCAGAAGAAGCCCCGGCUAACUCCGUGCCAGCAGCCGCGGUAAUAC
rnacentral:rRNA from 1 species